AACGAACGCUGGCGGCAUGCCUAACACAUGCAAGUCGAACGACACCUCCGUGUCUAGUUGCGCUCGGGUGCGUAACGCGUGGGAACCUGCCCUUAUGUUCGGAAUUACUCUCCUAAAUGGGUGCUAAUACCGGAUAAUUUCUUCUGACCAAAGAUUUAUCGCCUUUGUAUGGGCCGGCGUUGUAUUAGCUAGUUGGUAGUGUAUAAGCCUAUCACGGCGUCGAUACAUAGCUGGUUUGAGAGGAUGAUCAGCCACACUGGGUCUAGGACACGGACCAGACUCCUACGGGAGGCAGGAGAGGGGGAUAUAGGAAGAGGGGCGGAGGGAUGAACGAGCAAGGCCGCGUGAGUGAUGAAGGCGUGAGGGAAGUAAAGCUGUUUUACACGGGAUGAUAAUGACAGUACCGGGAGAAUAAGCGCCGGCUAACUCCGUG
rnacentral:rRNA from 1 species